CCUUGAUCUAUUAUUGCCACAUUAGUGAAUUUAUUAACUGUUCUAUCUACAAUACUUGGGUUAAAUCCUCUUUCAACUGCUAUAUAUUUUAUCAGUAACAACUCAUUUUUUGAAAUCAUCUUGUU